CACUCUAAAAUUGAGCAGCAGUUUUUUAUCUAGAUUGAACUAACCUCAACAUGAGAGCAGAAGCAUCCUAUGGUUAAGGCAGACUUGAUAGUUAUAAAG